GUCCUCCCCAGCUUGGGUUCUCAGCAAAUCCAAGCUCCGAGUGCUCCUUGCUUCUGAAAAGGCUCGGCGAUCACACGUCACAGACGUGUCUUUCCCUCGGUCAGUCACACAUGUAGGAUGUGAAUGUCAUGUGUACCCUGGGCUGAGAGUCUGAGCAGUUGACGUCCUGUGAUCCCAACUCUCUGCUGAGCCACAUGCGUUCUCUCUUCCCAGGAGUCCCGAGCCUCUCUGGAAAUGGAGCUUGUGCCCACAAUUCACCACCCCUUACCCACAGUCCUACAGCCCAGGAAGCUCUAAGACCAGAAAGCAGCAAACUCGUUUAGCAGCAAACCCUUGGCCUGAACCGAGGCUCUGUCUGGUCUCUGGUGGCCUGUGUGCUUGGCUGCAGGCGCUGCUGUGGACUUCACCGGGCCUGCUCUGCAGCGUCAGGUGUUCGCUUCAGGGAAGGUAGCGCUGGAUUCAGGUGAAAAGGAGUUGCCAACAACCCGCUGGAGCUGACCGAGCUGUUCAUAGCGGCCGGGAGAGGAGCAGUUUGGCCACCGAAGGACAUGCCAUCCUAGGAAGAAAGGGCAGGAAUAUCCCGCACGUGGCAUGCUGAAUAUGUCCCCGGGAUGAAGAAAGAACUCAGGGCCAUCUUUGGCGAGCCCCUGCCUACGCAGAUGUUUCAAGGGACAAGAAGAUUUCUCUGCAGAAGUCCAGCUGGCCUUUGGCACAAGACCUCCCUUACCCUCUGCUGAGCUAUGGGCUGGCAUCAUAAUGCCCAGCCAUCACUCGUGGGCUCUCCGGGUGUCUCUGGGGCAGCCAUCCACCGGAAGGAACUCCUGGGAGAGAGUAUCUACCGUGUCUGCAGGACAUUUCAUUUCCAACUGCCCUGUUGUGAACCACAGCGUACCACCCAGGCCGAGGAAAGGAAGACUGAAGACUUGUCAGUCUGACGGCGAGCUGUCUUGGAAAAGACUACGGAUAAAAAAAAUCUUGAAUUGCUCAGCUAACCAGAUGAUUUCACAUUCUUGCGGCGAGUUCAAGUAUAGUUUCUAACAGCAUUUCUAUAGCCUUCUUCUCUAUCCAUCUUUACAAAUAGUUUCUGAACCUCCCUACGAUACCUGCUUAAACUUAAAUUUAAAAAAAAGCAAAGGGGGAAAAAAGUAGGAAACUGAAAUAUGAGAAAGUGUAGGGAGGGAAAGCAUUUGGAGACUUCAACAUUUUGGCUUUAUGUGAAGUCAUAAGUAAUUUUGAAAUUAGGAUGUAAUGGAAAACAGACAUUAGCACCCUCACCUGGUUAAACCUGGAAGAGGAAAUUGUGCUUGAGAGUCAGGUUGGCACUUUCAGGGACAGUAGCUGAUUUCGGAGAGGAAACACGAGUUACUGAACUACGGGAACGGAUCUGGGACUGGAGGAAAGAGCACAGGAGAGGGACGGAUGGAGGAGGGGUGGGCACAGGGCACCUUCUCCUGGACCAGUGGCUGGGAUGCCGGGUUUCCAAGGAACAGCAAAGCGAUGACCCGGCACUACCCAGGAUGUGCUCAUUGCCAGGGGACACCCAAGACACAAACAACUGUGCAGCUACACGAAGCGGACACAGGUGAAGAGGGCUCUGUCAGUGGGAACGCCGCUGGGGUGGGCGGGAGUGAGAAUCUGUGGGUCUCAGCACCCUGGGGUGGGCGGGAUUGAGAAUCUGAGGGUCUCAGCGCCCUGGGGUGAAUCCUCCCUUUUCUCCAGAUCGGGGUCAACUGGAGCAAACGGCCACCUUUGGCUCAAAGUGCUUCUCCAGCGAAUGGACCCCCCAUGGUUUUAUGGAAAAGAGACUCCAAUACACCAACCAGACACCACAAUACCAAUCGAGAGUGAUUCUUAUUCCUUAUGGGUGCUGUUGCAUUAAAAUAGGCUUGUUUAUUUUCAUCGCA